AGAGUCAUUCAGUGCGUUCACCAGUGAUCUGAGCAGACACUAGGAUGCUGAGACUCUUCCUAACUGUGUCUGUCCUCUUCUGGCAGCAACUUGCUGCACAGGAUGAGGUGGACAACUUCUGUUAUGAAAAUAACUGCAUUGAGCCCGCAGAAGUCAUUCAACACAAGAAUUAUGAAGAGGAAGAACUCCAACACUUUCAAUGGGUUUAAACAAUGGUUCAUGGAAUGGAUAUGAAUCGUGCAAUAGAGACCGGCCUGGACAGACUUUUCAAUUAUUCACAUUUCUCUAAUGCUGCAGGGUUUUUGACCAGCAAGUUGAUGUACAACAAUAUGAAAAACUUGUGACUGAAUUCCGGCAGGACUUGGAACAAGACAAUCAACACUUUGAUCCGAGAUUUAUCAUUGCUUUUUUUUAAACACACAUGGGCUCAUGCAAAUAGGUUUUAGAAAGAUAGUAAAUCCUCAUGGGUAGGUUUUGUUACCUCAAUAGACAUCGAACAGUGAGAUGUGCUUAACUCUAUUCUUAAACUGAUUGAACCUUCCACUAAUUACACAUUGGGUUUAUUCUGGAGUACUGUGCAAAUUUCUGGUCUCCUUUCCUAAGGAAGGAUAUAUUUACCUUAGAGGGAAUGCAAUGACUGUUUAUUAGACAGAUUACAUAUAUGUGCCGUUAUUGGGGUUAUGAACAAUUCCACCAACAACACAUUCAGCACUGAAACCCUGUUUAGAAUAUUGCCCUCUACUGAUAGAUAACUCUAACUUCCACACACACUGCUGCAUUUACUCUUCAUUCAAAAUUAUACGAACAUGUUAGCAUCAACAGUGAGCAUUCCUUCCCAUUUACAUACACUGGUCCCUUUAGUUGUUUUGCUCAGUGAUUCCAAACAAUGGCUCUUUCCAGGUGUCCAGCUCAAUGUCUCCCCACACUAUCCUUUGACAGAGAGAUCAUGGUUCUCACCAGGGGCUGUACCUCCUUGUCUUUCCCAAAGUCAAAUAAAACAGAGGCUCUUCAAUCCUGCUCCACCAUUCGGUAAGAUCAUGGCUGAUCUUCUACCUCAAUUCCACCUUCCCACACUAUCACUCGAGUGUGUAAUCUGUCUAAUAAACAGGCAUUGCAGUCCCUUUAAGGAAAGUUCAUCCAACCUUCGGUAAGGAGGCCAAAACUAUGGGUGUGGUGUCACCUAUAUAAUUGAAGUCAAAUUUAUUUCUCUUUACUAUCUUUGUAAUAAAGGCUAAGAUACCAUUUGCUUUCCUAAUUGCUUGUUGUAACUGCAUAUUACCUUUUUAUGCUUCAUGUGUAAAGACACCCAAGCCCCUCUGAAUAACAACAUUUUUCAGUCACUCACCCAUGCAAAAUAUUCCACUUUUAUGUUUUUCCUAUAUUUGACUGACUUCACACGUCCCCAAAUUAUAUUCUGUCUGCCACAUUCUUACCCAUUCACUUAAUCAACCAAAUAUGGAGAAACCACAUGGUCUUCUACCCACACGUUAACCAGACAUGAGGAUCCAGCCUUGGCAGAUCUGACUGUCCCUGACAGAGGAGCUCUGACUGCUGCUGUUGCUUUUCAUGUUGUUUAUAAUUAGGUUCCUCCUUCAAUUCCAAAUUAUUUGCUCAUGUUGCAGGUUCAUUUCUGACCAACCAACUCUGUGGGCAGCAAUGGUGAAAUGAGUCUAACAUCUCCACACUGCACAUACACAGGCCUAAUCCCAGUUGGACAUGGGCAGUGGGCUCUCCAUUGGGGAACAGGGAUUCAUCACUGCAGUAAUUUGCCUUUUCUGUAAUCUUGCUUUAAAUGAAUCAUGAACAGACUGACAUUGAGGUGGUCCUAGUGACUGACAUAGUUCUAGGAUGUCUAUCUUGAUACAGUGAUGAAUUAUCUUUAUGUUUAUCAAAGUCAUCCUGAUCAGAAUGUUUAAAGUUGAAGCAAAAAGAGCUAAUUGAAAAUGGGAUGUGUUGCAGAGCAGAGAGAAUUGAAGUUGUUACGAAUGAAAUUAUGGAGUGGUCAGAUUUGGCAUUGUACCUGAGCUCAGGGAGGGAGCAUGAGAAUGGCAGCUUGCAUUGAGGCCCAGGACUGGCACGAGUGACUCAGUGUUGGAGGGCUAUGUGGAGUUACAGAGUGUGUGAGGUGCUCGGUAAUAGAAACACCCAGAGACACCAAGAAUUAAAGUGUAUGAGCAACAUGGCUCCUUUUAUUAAAACAUAUUCUUCAGGCUCUCCACUUCUUCCUGCAGACUCCCUCUGUGGGUAUACUUCUGUCAGGAAGCUUCCAGUGAACAAUACAUACAGAUGGCAAUUUCAAAACAGAAAUCAAACACAGAAAGAUCCAAGA